rnacentral:rRNA from 1 species
GUGUCUCUCUCUACCUGUUGCUUUGGCGGGCCCACCGGGGCCACCCGGUCGCCGGGGGACGUCCGUCUCCGGGCCCGCGCCCGCCGAAGCGCCCUGUGAACCCUGAUGAAGAUGGGCUGUCUGAGUCGCAUGAAAAAUUGUCAAAACUUUCAACAAUGGAUCUCUUGGUUCCGGCAUCGAUGAAGAACGCAGCGAAAUGCGAUAAGUAAUGUGAAUUGCAGAAUUCCGUGAAUCAUCGAAUCUUUGAACGCACAUUGCGCCCCCUGGCAUUCCGGGGGGCAUGCCUGUCCGAGCGUCAUUUCUGCCCUCAAGCGCGGCUUGUGUGUUGGGCGUGGUCCCCCCGGGGACCUGCCCGAAAGGCAGCGGCGACGUCCGUCCGGUCCUCGAGCGUAUGGGGCUCUGUCACUCGCUCGGGACGGAUCGGCGGAGGUUGGUCACCACCACAGUUUUACCACGGUUGACCUCGGAUCAGGUAGGAGUUACCCCGCUGAACUUAAGCAUA